AUUGAACGCUGGCGGCAUGCCUUACACAUGCAAGUCGAACGGCAGCACGGGAGCAAUCCUGGUGGCGAGUGGCGAACGGGUGAGUAAAGUAUCGGAGCGUGCCCAGUCGUGGGGGAUAACGUAGCGAAAGUUACGCUAAUACCGCAUACGCUCUAUGAAUGAAAGCGGGGGAACGCAAGACCUCGCGCGAUUGGAGCGGCCGAUAUCAGAUUAGGUAGUUGGUGGGGUAAAGGCUCACCAAGCCGACGAUCUGUAGCUGGUCUGAGAGGACGACCAGCCACACUGGGACUGAGACACGGCCCAGACUCCUACGGGAGGCAGCAGUGGGGAAUUUUGGACAAUGGGCGAAAGCCUGAUCCAGCCAUGCCGCGUGCAGGAUGAAGGCCUUCGGGUUGUAAACUGCUUUUGUACGGAACGAAAAGGUUUGGCCUAAUAAGCUGAGCUCAUGACGGUACCGUAAGAAUAAGCACCGGCUAACUACGUGCCAGCCGCCGCCGUAA
rnacentral:rRNA from 1 species